rnacentral:rRNA from 1 species
AAAUUGAAGAGUUUGAUCAUGGCUCAGAUUGAACGCUGGCGGCAGGCCUAACACAUGCAAGUCGAACGGUAACAGGAAACAGCUUGCUGUUUCGCUGACGAGUGGCGGACGGGUGAGUAAUGUCUGGGAAACUGCCUGAUGGAGGGGGAUAACUACUGGAAACGGUAGCUAAUACCGCAUAACGUCGCAAGACCAAAGAGGGGGACCUUCGGGCCAC